rnacentral:rRNA from 1 species
GACGAACGCUGGCGGCGUGCUUAACACAUGCAAGUCGAACGGUAAGGCCCUUCGGGGUACACGAGUGGCGUACGGGAGAGUAAUACGUGGGUGAUCUGCCCUGCACUUGGGGAUAAGCCUGGGAAACUGGGUCUAAUACCCGAUAGGAACCUGGGAUGCAUGUCCUGGGGUGGCAAGUUUGUGCGGUGUGGGAUGGGCCCGCGGCCUGUCAGCGUGUUGGUGGGGUGAUGGCCUACCAAGGCGCCGACGCGUAUCCGGCCUGAGAGGGUGAGCGGCCACACGGGGACUGAGAUACGGCCCAGACUCCUCCAGGAGGCAGUAGUGGGGAAUAUUGCACAAUGGGCGCAAGACUGAUGCAGCGACGCCGCGUGAGGGAUGACGGCCUUCGGGUUGUAAACCUCUUUCAGCACCGACAAAGCGCAAGUGACGGUAGGUGCAGAAGAAGGACCGGCCAACUACGUGCCAGCCGCCGCAGUAA